UCACCUGGAGGAAGAUGUGGAAGCCAGUAAUUCCAAAGGGUAAUUCCACGACAAAGGGAUUGUUUCUGCUCCUUUGUAGCUGGAAGCAACAGAGGAGAAGCGAAACUGAAGGCUACUAAGUGAAAUGUGGGAAGGGAAGACUGGGAUCCUUGGAAGUGCUGUUAAAGUUUCAAGGAAGAGAGAAAUGGAGAUGCAGAUCCAGCUCCUGAAGAACUGGCACAGAUCAGGAAAGUGCUGGUAAAAUCCAGGCACGGAUCUCUCCAGAGAAACGAGGAAGAGGAAGUUCCCAAGUGCACAGAUGGUUCCAGGCUGGAAUAGGAUAACUCUGAGCACCUGUUUUAAUUCCAGAACCACAGCAGUCAUUAAAGCAUUUUCACAGAGCCA